AAGAUUAAGCCAUGCAUGUCUAAGUAUAAGCAAUUAUACAGCGAAACUGCGAAUGGCUCAUUAUAUAAGUUAUCGUUUAUUUGAUAGUACCUUACUACAUGGAUAACCGUGGUAAUUCUAGAGCUAAUACAUGCUAAAAAUCCCGACUUCGGAAGGGAUGUAUUUAUUAGAUUAAAAACCAAUGCCCUCCGGGGCUCACUGGUGAUUCAUAAUAACUUCUCGAAUCGCAUGGCCUUGCGCCGGCGAUGGUUCAUUCAAAUUUCUUCCCUAUCAACUUUCGAUGUUUGGGUAUUGGCCAAACAUGGUUGCAACGGGUAACGGAGGGUUAGGGCUCGACCCCGGAGAAGGAGCCUGAGAAACGGCUACUACAUCCAAGGAAGGCAGCAGGCGCGCAAAUUACCCAAUCCCGACUCGGGGAGGUAGUGACAAUAAAUACUGAUACAGGGCUCUUUUGGGUCUUGUAAUUGGAAUGAGUACAAUUUAAAUCCCUUAACGAGGAACAAUUGGAGGGCAAGUCUGGUGCCAGCAGCCGCGGUAAUUCCAGCUCCAAUAGCGUAUAUUAAAGUUGUUGUGGUUAAAAAGCUCGUAGUUGAACCUUGGGCCUGGCUGGCCGGUCCGCCUCACCGCGUGUACUGGUCCGGCCGGGCCUUUCCCUCUGUGGAACCCCAUGCCCUUCACUGGGUGUGGCGGGGAAACAGGACUUUUACUGUGAAAAAAUUAGAGUGCUCCAGGCAGGCCUAUGCUCGAAUACAUUAGCAUGGAAUAAUAGAAUAGGACGUGUGGUUCUAUUUUGUUGGUUUCUAGGACCGCCGUAAUGAUUAAUAGGGA
rnacentral:rRNA from 1 species